UAAGUCAGCCACGAAUAGGCUAUCCCAACUAACGGCGGGAAAGACUCCACGGAGGGUGUAAGACCCGUGUGGGCGCGUGUUAAAGCUGUGUGGGCUCGGCCUCCAUUCCCUGAGAGUCGCGUUGCUUGAGCAUGCAGCGCUAAGCAGGUCGUAAACUCGAUCUAAGGCUAAAUAUUUCCACAGAACCGAUAGCGAACAAGUACCGUGAGGGAAAGUUGAAAAGCACUCUGGAGAGAGAGUCAAAAGACCGUGAAACCGCUCAGAGUAUAAGCCCAUGGCAGCUUGGAAGGCAUAUCGCUAGCGGGGCAUCGGUCUCCCUUCGCGGGGAGCUGGUGUUACCUUGCUUCUGUUGUGGCUCGUCAUGGUAGGGGGGUCAGGUCCACAUCCCGCCGUCGUGUGGGGGGUUCUUGGGUGUGUUGUGGUUUCUCGGUUGGCUUCGGCUUGCCGGGGGGCUCUUCGUGCUCGGUUCCCUUUUAGACACGGACGUUCAGACUCAGUUGCAAGACGCGAUAACCAGCCCACCACGGCACGUUGUGAGGUCACCCACAGGCUCGACUUUCGAUCGUGAACCUUGACGCCGAGCAAGCACAAUGCGUGUCGCAGAUGUUCCUAACCAGGCAACGUUGCCAGGAUCGUGGAACGACACGCGCUCAACAGUCAGGUUCGGGCGGAGACAGAGUUCUGGUACGAUCCUCUUGCGACGAGCCGGCUUCUGGCCGACGUCCGAUGCUCAGGUCUCCCGCAUGUGCCGCGGGAGAUCGCUUUGACGGUCUGGA
rnacentral:rRNA from 2 species